UCCGGGCAAGGUGGGGUGGGCGCUCGCGCUCACCAGCGCCUGUGCGCUGGCGCUGAUGAGCCGAGUGAGCGCUACCACUUAAGCAGGAGUGGGGGGGUAGAGGCGACAGCCUUUAAAUAACGACCGAAAUAUUUGCUGGCCCUUUGGGUGAGGAAGGCACUCACUGGGCUUCGAUGAUGGAAAAUUCCUGACAUAAAGUGACUUGACUUCGUUUCGCGGCAGCGACUGAGACUGGAUUUUACCUCUUCAGACAGAGCCGGGGGGCGCGGGGACAGUGGUUUCCCCGGCUCUGUGUGUGUGUGUGUACGGCCCAGGGAGGCGGAGCGCCCGGCCCCCUGCCUCGCGCGCCGCUCAUUUGCAUUGACGCAUGGCCGCGCGCCAUGGGCGGGCGGGCUGAGGGCGAGGAGGCAGCAGCGCUGUGGGUGUCGAGGCGCAGCUGAGGGAGUUUCCUCUCAUGGCUCGCCCGGCGCUCUGCUACCGGUAUGCCGUAGCCGGCUGCUGCAGUGGGGCUGGUCGGCAUAGUCUGGGGCUUUCUAGUUCCUUUGACGUCUGCUCGGUCCGUGUGAGGCUGGAGAGGCAGCCCCAGGGUGGCAAAAGCUGUGGCUUCCCGUUCCUUAUGUGAUAACGAUGCAGUGGCACACCUGGCCUUGUGGAGAGAUCCCAGGUGAAGCUGGGUCAGUCACUCAUUUUUCUCCACCCAAGUACUUCCAUUAAGCCAUAUCACUCAUUGGCCCCUCAGUGAUCCACAAAAGCUCAGACCAAGCACAUACUGAGGUGUGGUGACACGUCAUGUUGCCUCCUGAGGAACUCUGCAGCUGCUGUCAUUUACAAGUGGCAAAAAAUAAAGAGUGCAGACCAAAGCCAUACAGAUCGUGGCUUUAAGGUGCUGCAAUCAUUCAUCAAGGCAACAGUUCAAAGCUACCAAUUUGAAGAAAAGAGUUUGCUCUGUAGCAGAAGAAAAUGAAGAAUUCAAGGCCCCGCUGGCCUCAACAGGACUUAACAAUUCAUCUAACAUCCCUUCUGAACAAGGAUACUUUCCUGGAGUUGAUUUUAACAGAGAAGCUCACUAACUCCUUUUGCUAAUGCUCUUUGAGUCCUACCUCUUCUGCAACGCUUCUGCGGAGCUGACUGUGCUUUAGGCAGGAAAGGAAUAAAGGCUUGUUGAUGGCUAGCUGAUGGAUGAGUCCCCUCAGUAUGAGAGACAGAUGAACUGAGGAACAUCAAUGCAAUAUGAAGAACAUGAUGGAAAGAACACAAAGAAUGGAAAUCAUUGAGCCAUGAUUUUUAUGUUCUUUCCUGGAAACUGCCCAAGCUGGGAUUAUACUCAAACUGGCUAACAUCAAGAGAGGGUUUAGCUCCGUCAGCUAGGCAACUGCAAUUUCCAACAUGUCCAAGGGUGGCUGUUCUGCUGCUGCUGCUGCUGCUGCUGCUGCUGCUGAAGAUUUCAGGUCUUUCUUGCAGAAGAUGCAAACAGACUAGCAUUCCUCAGCCUAGAGAAGAAGAUGUCUAGAGUCUAUAAAAUCCUGGAAGAAAAGAAGAAAGUAUAAAAUGGAGGAUUGUUCACUGUCCCUGAUAAGGUAGACAAACAUCUUCUGACAAGGUUUCGAGGCCUCAGCUGACUUCCAUAGCUCCCCCAGCUGGGUUCUUACAUCUUCAAGUCUGGGAUUACUACUGCUCUUAUAUCCUCCUUCC